rnacentral:rRNA from 1 species
AUUGAACGCUGGCGGCAUGCUUUACACAUGCAAGUCGAACGGUAACAGGCCGCAAGGUGCUGACGAGUGGCGAACGGGUGAGUAAUGCAUCGGAACGUGCCCAGUCGUGGGGGAUAACGCAGCGAAAGCUGUGCUAAUACCGCAUACGAUCUAUGGAUGAAAGCGGGGGACCGUAAGGCCUCGCGCGAUUGGAGCGGCCGAUGUCAGAUUAGGUAGUUGGUGGGGGUAAAGGCCCACCAAGCCAACGAUCUGUAGCUGGUCUGAGAGGACGACCAGCCACACUGGGACUGAGACACGGCCCAGACUCCUACGGGAGGCAGCAGUGGGGAAUUUUGGACAAUGGGCGCAAGCCUGAUCCAGCAAUGCCGCGUGCAGGAAGAAGGCCUUCGGUUGUAAACUGCUUUGUACGGUAACGAAACGGUAC